UCCAGGCACGGUGGUGCGUGCCUGUAAUCCCAGCUACUCGGGAGGCUGAGGUAGGAGGAUUGCCUGAAUCCAGGAGUUCUGGGCUGUAGUGCGCUAUGCCAAUUGGGUGUCUGCACUAAGCUCGGCAUCAAUCUGGUGACCUCCUGGGAGCGGGGACCACCAGGUUGCCUAAGGAUGGAUGAACCAGCCCAGCUUGGAAAGGGAACAGGUCAAAACUCCCGUGCUGAUCAGUAGUGGGAUCGUACCUGUGAAUGGCCACUGGACUCCAGCCUGGGCAACACAGCAAGACCCCGUCUCUU
ensembl:misc_RNA Metazoa_SRP Metazoan signal recognition particle RNA